UGGGGAAUCUUGCACAAUGGGGGAAACCCUGAUGCAGCGACGCCGCGUGAACGAUGAAGCCCUUCGGGGUGUAAAGUUCUUUCGACAGGAACGAUAAUGACGGUACCUGGAGAAGAAGCUGCGGCUAACUACGUGCCAGCAGCCGCGGUAAUACGUAGGCAGCGAGCGUUGUUCGGAGUUACUGGGCGUAAAGAGUGCGUAGGCGGCGAGCCAAGUUUGGUGUGAAAUCUCCCGGCUUAACCGGGAGGGUGCGCCGAAAACUGGUUGGCUGGAGUAUGGGAGAGGAAAGCGGAAUUCCUGGUGUUGCGGUGAAAUGCGUAGAUAUCAGGAGGAACACCUGCGGUGUAGACAGCUUUCUGGACCAAAACUGACGCUGAGGCACGAAAGCGUGGGUAACAAACA
rnacentral:rRNA from 1 species